GACCUGGCUGGGUGGUCUUUCCGCAAGGUUAGCACUGCUCUGGUUGGGUCUUUCCUUCUGGGGAACCAGCGUGCUCUUAAUUGGGUGCGCUGGGGAUCCAGGACUUUUACUUUGAAAAAAUUAGAGUGUUUAAAGCAGGCCUACGCUUGAAUACAUUAGCAUGGAAUAAUAGAAUAGGAC
rnacentral:rRNA from 1 species